ensembl:lncRNA
AUAGAAUAACAGAAUUUUCUGCUAUCUAAAUAUGUAAGAAUUAUGCAUUUUAUUUCAACUUACGUCCUUUGGAGGAUGAAAAAAAAAGAACAAUAUGAAAUCUAGUGGCCUUUUUUCUUAUGCUAUACAGUUUUUAUUCCUCUCCUUGCAUACGUCUGCAUAUCUCCAUGGAUACACACAUCAGUUCCUUUGUCUAGCCUCAGAAAGCAGUAAGUUUUAUCACCUGGAAAUUUGGGUAAUAAAAAGCUGUGGAAUUAUUUACAUCAAAUAGGUGGAAUGAGGCCAUUUAUAAAUGUCCAACUUUCUUUUUUUAAUAAAGGAAAAAAGAAAAUUCUCAUGCAGGGCACUAAGUCCUUGUGCAGAAGCAGUCUCCUCAUUUGCGUACUUGAGAACUGUUAUACCUGUAUGAGCUGAUCAACAAAUGAGUGCUGUCAGGGACUUGCCAGUUUGCUGAGUCAGAGCAACACACUGCCUGUGUAAUACCUCCCUAGUUCAUGUGAUAAUGGAUAUUGACAGCAAGGAAGCUGCCUGCUUUUGUUGCUAAUUGUUUUCCUGAUUUAUAGCUCUUCUGUGUGUCUAUCAUUUUUAUGUAUGAUAUAUUUCAAUAUACUGUUGAUGCUAUAUUCUUUCUGCUCACAGCGGUGUUCCUGUGUUCCAACAGAUUCAUGUGUUUGAGGCAAUGGCUUUUCUCCUAGGAUGCAGCAUAUAAAUUGUCUCUUCCAAACAAAGCAGCACAGAAAACAAUUUUUUCAAGUGGUCACAGAUGAACAAUGUCCAAAGGAAUUUUCCUUUUCAGAUGCUUCAUUAAUGCAUCUGUUUGCUGUUCUAGGGUGUGCAAUCUGCAAAAGGUCAUAAUCUGCAGGUGCAAAUAUGUUCACCAAAGCUCUCUGGAGAACUACUUGAUUCUGAAGCCACUGGAUACUGGGCUUUCUGCUUCAGCUGUGAUCAGAAGGAAUGCAGGAAAGAAAAAUAAAUAAGAUAAACUAUUUUAAAGUCUGUAAGUAUUUGAGAUUCAAAUGGAAAUGUG